rnacentral:lncRNA from 1 species
UCCAGCUGUUCUAACACCUCCUGCCUGCCAGUACUGACUCUUUAUGCAUGGGGGCUUCCGGCUUAUCUAUACUUCGAAGACAGUGAACUAGGUUAACCAGAUAUAGGACUCCUCUGUCUUGCUACGAUGGACAGCCACAAGGAUUCACUUGAAUAAAAGAAGCAACAGUGGGUGCCAGGCUGUUUGAAUAUCAACGUCAACAUACAGCACCCUCUGGCCAUACUUUAGCAGUUCCAGGAUGGCCAAGACGACAUCGUUGAUGUAACAGAAACCUGAGGCGUCAGACUUCUUUACAUGAUGCAGUCCCCCAGCCUGGCUCGCAGUGAUGUCCCUCUGAUGUGUAUCAAGUUUCACAGCACUUUCCAAAGAGCCACCAAUAGACAACUGACAACUCAGACAGGCCAUCGAUUACCGGGAAGUCCUCACCAACGCGGAAUCUCUGCAUCUGCUUGCUGUAUUUAGACACAUUAUCUGGGCGAAUAGAGCACAAGAGUUUAAUGUAGUCAUCACUGUGGGACUUGGUCAUCUCCUCAGCGUUGGCUCUGUGAGGACGAUAGAUUUCCAUUUUUUGGUAGAGAUGUAGUUGAGCUGCAAAUCACGAGUCAUGUGGAUUCGGUGAGGCUUCAUUGGGUGGCCCUGUCCAUAAGAUAGUUUCCAACAUCCCUGUUAACAGACGUUCCUCUUGCCCUGAGUCUGUGCCAUCUUUCUCACCACCCAGUGCUCCUGCCAGUCUGAUGUUUUAAUAUUUUUAGAUGGUGAUGCUUUGAGUUUAAAUGGCCUUUGACAAAUUCUAUCCUAAUUUCUAAUUAAGACAAGGAAAGAAAACAAAGAUGGAUAAGGACCAUAAAGUAAUGAAUGGACUGGAAACAGAAGUAAACUUAUUCAACAAUAAAA